AACGCACAUUGCGCCCUUUGGUAUUCCGAAGGGCAUGCCUAUUCGAGCGUCAUUAUCAACCCUCAAGCCCGGCUUGGCCUUGGGCCCGCGUCGUCCUGCGACCGGCCCGAAAGAUAAUGGCGGUGUCGAACGGACCCUCCGGUGCAGCGAGCUUCGGCACGCACCGCGAGGCCCGUCGGCGUCGGUCGUACCCACCUUACAGGUUGACCUCGGAUUAGGUAGGAAUACCCGCUGAACUUAA
rnacentral:misc_RNA from 1 species